UUUCUUAAAAAAUUCGAUGAGAUGUUCUCUUUAUCCCAGGAGUAAUAUUAAUAUGUAAUGCUGUGGAGUGAGACUAUGAGAACGGAAGAGCACA